GAUGAACGCUGGCGGCGUGCCUAAUACAUGCAAGUCGAGCGAACGGACGAGAAGCUUGCUUUUCUGAUGUUAGCGGCGGACGGGUGAGUAACACGUGGAUAACCUACCUAUAAGACUGGGAUAACUUCGGGAAACCGGAGCUAAUACCGGAUAAUAUUUUGAACCGCAUGGUUCAAAAGUGAAAGACGGUCUUGCUGUCACUUAUAGAUGGAUCCGCGCUGCAUUAGCUAGUUGGUAAGGUAACGGCUUACCAAGGCAACGAUGCAUAGCCGACCUGAGAGGGUGAUCGGCCACACUAGAACUGAGACACGGUCCAGACUCCUACGGGAGGCAGCAGUAGGGAAUCUUCCGCAAUGGGCGAAAGCCUGACGGAGCAACUCCGCGUGAGUGAUGAAGGUCUUCGGAUCGUAAAACUCUGUUAUUAGGGAAGAACAUAUGUGUAAGUAACUGUGCACAUCUUGACGGUACCUAAUCAGAAAGCCACGGCUAACUACGUG
rnacentral:rRNA from 1 species